rnacentral:rRNA from 1 species
AACGCGAAGAACCUUACCUGGGCUCGAACGGCUUCUCAACGCCGGUGGAAACAUCGGUACUCCGCAAGGGGGUGGAGUCGAGGUGCUGCAUGGCUGUCGUCAGCUCGUGUCGUGAGAUGUUGGGUUAAGUCCCGCAACGAGCGCAACCCUUGUCCUGUGUUGCCAUGCCCGAAAGGGCGGAACUCGCAGGAGACCGCCAGCGAUAAGCUGGAGGAAGGUGGGGAUGACGUCAAGUCCUCAUGGCCUUUAUGUCCAGGGCUACACACGUGCUACAAUGGACGGUACAAUACGUCGCUAACCCGCGAGGGGGAGCCAAUCGCAAAAAACCGUUCUCAGUUCGGAUUGCAGGCUGCAACUCGCCUGCAUGAAGCUGGAAUCGCUAGUAAUGGCAGAUCAGCACGCUGCCGUGAAUACGUUCCCGGGCCUUGUACACACCGGCUAC